rnacentral:tRNA from 1 species
UGAAGCAUAGUAUAAUAUAAUAUAACUCGCUUACACUGAGUUGAUGGUUAAGCUAUAACCUGCUUCAA